rnacentral:rRNA from 1 species
GGAUCAGUAGGUUGGUCGUGCCACCGGUACGUACUGGUCUCACUGAUUCCUCCUUCCUGAAGAACCGUAAUGCCAUUAAUUUGGUGUUGCGGGGAAACAGGACUGUUACUUUGAAAAAAUUAGAGUGUUUAAAGCAAGCUAACGCUUGAAUACAUUAGCAUGGAAUAAUGAAAUAGGACGAUCCAUCCUAUUUUGUUGGUUUCUAGGAUUGACGUA